rnacentral:rRNA from 1 species
GACGGAGGGUGCUAGCGUUGUUCGGAAUCACUGGGCGUAAAGCGCGUGUAGGCGGCUCGAUAAGUCGAAUGGGAAAGCCCGAGGCUCAACCUCGGAAGUGCAUUCGAAAAUGUCGGGCUUGAGUACGGGAGAGCGAAGUGGAAUUCCCGGUGGAGAGGUGAAAUUCGUAGAUAUCAGGAGGAACACCGGUGGCGAAGGCGGCUUCCUGGUCCGAUACUGACGCUGAGUCGCGAAAGCGUGGGGAGCAAACAGG